rnacentral:rRNA from 1 species
CCUACGGGGGGCAGCAGUGAGGAAUAUUGGUCAAUGGGCGGGAGCCUGAACCAGUCAAGCCGCGUGAGGGAAGAAGGUACAGCGUAUCGUAAACCUCUUUUGUCAGGGAACAAAGGCGGGGACUAGUCCCCGGAUGAGGGUACCUGAAGAAAAAGCAUCGGCUAACUCCGUGCCAGCAGCCGCGGUAAUACGGAGGAUGCGAGCGUUAUCCGGAUUUAUUGGGUUUAAAGGGUGCGCAGGCGGUCUGUUAAGUCAGCGGUCAAAGCCCGGGGCUCAACCCCGGCCCGCCGUUGAAACUGGCAGUCUCGAGUUGGAGAGAAGUAUGCGGAAUGCGCGGUGUAGCGGUGAAAUGCAUAGAUAUCGCGCAGAACUCCGAUUGCGAAGGCAGCAUGCCGGCUCCACACUGACGCUGAGGCACGAAAGCGUGGGUAUCGAACAGGAUUAGAUACCCUAGUAGUC